rnacentral:rRNA from 1 species
GAUGAACGCUGGCGGCGUGCCUAAUACAUGCAAGUCGAGCGAACAGACGAGGAGCUUGCUCCUCUGACGUUAGCGGCGGACGGGUGAGUAACACGUGGAUAACCUACCUAUAAGACUGGGAUAACUUCGGGAAACCGGCGCUAAUACCGGAUAAUAUAUUGAACCGCAUGGUUCAAUAGUGAAAGACGGUUUUGCUGUCACUUAUAGAUGGAUCCGCGCCGCAUUAGCUAGUUGGUAAGGUAACGGCUUACCACGGCAACGAUGCGUAGCCGACCUGAGAGGGUGAUCGGCCACACGAGAACUGAGACACGGUCCAGAGUCCUACGGGAGGCAGCAGUAGGGAAUCGUCCGCAAUGGGCGAAAGCCUGACGGAGCAACGCCGAGUGAGUGAUGAAGGUCUUCGGAUCGUAAAACUCUGUUAUUAGGGAAGAACAAAUGUGUAAGUAACUAUGCACGUCUUGACGGUACCGAAUCAGAAAGCCACGGCUAACUACGUG